GUGUUACUUCUCCUUAGCUCUCCAUGUUCUCUCCUAAAAUUCGAAUAGCAAAAACUUUCGAGGGGAUGAACUUUAAGUGUGUGUUUCUUUCACCUCAUGGACAGAAGAUAUUCAAGCACCUCGGAGGCAAAGUUUCAGUUGCCUGUAUGAGGGUAUGAAUUAAUGCUCCUAUUUGUAUUUCUGAAAUCAGGAAAGGCUAUUGCUCUCUGCAUAGAACAGGCCUUAGAUCGAUCUGGUGUAGAUAGCGAAGAUGUAAAUUACAUAAGCGCUCAUGCAACAUCUACGCCAACUGGCGAUCUAGCUGAAUAUAAGCUCUAGUUCGUUGUUUCGGCAAAAUCCCAGCUAAGAGUGAACUCUACCAAAUCCAUGAUUGGUAACCUGCAAGGCGCUUCAGGUGCUGCAGAAGCUCUGCGGCAACAAUUAAG